UACAGAGGGGGCAAGCGUUGUUCGGAAUUACUGGGCGUAAAGGGCGCGUAGGCGGCCUUCUAAGUCGAACGUGAAAUCCCUGGGCUCAACCCAGGAACUGCGUCCGAUACUGGGAGGCUUGAAUCCGGGAGAGGGGUGUGGAAUUCCAGGUGUAGCGGUGAAAUGCGUAGAUAUCUGGAGGAACACCGGUGGCGAAGGCGGCAUCCUGGACCGGUAUUGACGCUGAUGCGCGAAAGCCAGGGGAGCAAACGGG
rnacentral:rRNA from 1 species